rnacentral:rRNA from 1 species
GACGAACCGUGCGAACGUUGUUCGGAUUCACUGGGCUUAAAGGGCGCGUAGGCGGGCGUUCAAGUCUGGGGUGAAAUCCUUCGGCUCAACCGAAGAACAGCCCCCGAUACUGGACGCCUCGAGGGAGGUAGGGGUCGAGGGAACUUCCGGUGGAGCGGUGAAAUGCGUAGAUAUCGGAAGGAACGCCGGUGGCGAAAGCGCUCGACUGGACCUCUUCUGACGCUGAGGCGCGAAAGCCAGGGGAGCGAACGGG